rnacentral:lncRNA from 1 species
GACUUUUGGAGGGCCGAGUUGCAGGCGGCGGGCGCAUCCCGGAGAUGGCGGGGCAGGGAGGGAGGGAAGGAGGAGGGGGCGGGGAGGGAGGUGCAGAUUUGCACGGCUGGCCUCAGCGGGAGGCGCGGAAAUGCAAGCCGAGCAUGCUGGCGUGAAAGCCCCCGGGGCCUGGCACCCCCAAAAACGACCCCCCACCUCCGUUCCUGCCCUCAUUGCCCAGGGCUACCCCUCUUCCUCUUCUUUCAUCCACCCCUCCCCCAACAUUACCUGUGUGGCCGACUCAAAUUCAAAGCAUUUUGUAUAUAUAACUGUUUUCUUUUUUUGCUUUUCUGCUGCAUGUCUUUUUCGUGGGGGGUGAUCCUCUGCAGAUCCCCCCAUUUGCGGACCCGCCAUGUGGAGGAGGCAUUUGGGGGGCUCAGAAGGAAAUUAGCUCGGCUUCCAUACCUAUAAGGACUGCCUAACUUUUAAACUCCCGGCACUCAAAGAUGUGGACACACACACGUACAGGAAAUACAGCCAGACCAGAGCCUUUGCAGUCCGCAGCUGACCGGAAGACGUUGCCUUUCAUUCAUUCAUUCUGCCCGCCUCUGUGGACUCCUUUACUAGGCGACCAGCCCUGAAACAGAAGUUGGACAUUUUUUAAAGGUUCUUGCGCUCGGCAAGGGGAGCAGAUAGAUGCUCAGGAGCGAAAGACGCAGAGAAUUGGAUCUGGCGCCUCCUAACGCAGCCCGCACAGGAGCGAAGGGAUGGAGUGCAGUGGUGCGACCUUGGCUCACUGCAACCUCUGCCUUGCCUCCGGAGUUCAAGCGAUCCUCCUGCCUCGGCCUCCCAAGUAGCUGGGAUUACAGGCACCCACCGCCACACCCAGAGAGUGUGACGAUCCCCCUGAUGCGGCUGAGAUGUUCUGAAAUGAAGACGUUGGCUCUCAUCCCCAGCCUGAAGAGAGAAAAUUCUGAGAUGGCUCCCUUACAGAUUGAGAGCAGAUACGGGGUUUCACCGUGCUAGCCAGGAUGAUCUCGAUCUACUGACCUCGUGAUCCGCCCGCCUCGGCCUCCCAAAGUGCUGGGAUUAUAGGCGUGAGCCACCGCGCCCGGCGGCUGUGGCUAAUUAUUAGGUAACUAGCGUCGUUGGGUCUCCCUACCUGAAGGCCUAAAGGCUGGAGAUAAGAGGGCUGAAGGGGAGUAGAGCCAGGACUGGUGGGCCUGGGAGCCACCAAUAGUCCCAGAAGAUCCUACGGGGACUUUGCCUUCUGCUCCUGAUCUCUGGAAUCGAUUCAUCAGCCUGAGCUUCGACUCCAGCCUCUGCAUCCGCUUCUCCCAAGGCACUGGGUAGGAACACAGCCAAGAACGAUUGCAGGAUGGGUCCUUCCAGGACACUGACGUCUCAGCUUGCGCACUGUGAGUCCCUGGACGAGUUACUCCACCUCUCUGAACCUCCUCCUCACUUGCAUAAUGGGAAAAAUAAUGGACAUAGGAAGAUGAAACAAGACCUUGGAGACCA